CUGUUACCCCACUGCUUGCAGUGGAGCCUGCAGGAGGAGACUGGUGUCAGAGUCACCUCAUUGCCGGGUUUGCAGAAGAGAUUUGCAUAAAGAAUGUGUGAAAUCUCCUUGCAAGGUGGAAUCAUUCUGAGGUCCUCAGACUUGAAGGCAAGAAGGUAGACUAAUUUUGCCUCCCCCCCCCACCCCGUGACCUUUCAAGUUCUCCUCCAGCCUUUCCUUCCAUAAAAUGUAUAAUUGCCCUUUCUGGCAGUUCACAGAGAAGUGCUAUUCCCAGCCCUUCCAAGCUGCUCUGGAUGGAAAAUGCCCUUGGUUCUCAGAGACUUAACACCCGGCCCUGUGAACAUGAGCACGAUUAUUCUCUCCGAGCAGCUCUUUUCACAUGUGAUAAGCUUGGCAAGUUGCCCUGGAUUCAGCUUUAAGAUUACUUUUUCUGGUGAGUUUCCUGACACCACAGCUGAAGGAGAUAAACUCCCAGGAUAUACCACACUUCUCAAGGGGCAAGAUUUCGCCUUUGUCAUGUCUGUCUGGAUCGUACUCUUCAGGAGUCCAGGCCUGCAUGUGCUUUAUUUAGUCAAAUAUCCCCGUGGUCACUAUGCCUCAGAGUCAGAUGAAGGCAUUACUAACCAGUGGUGAGUGAAUGGACUGCUGUACGGGCUCUACAUGAAGACCAUCAACCUCUGCCUACUCUGACUGGUCUAAAGGGAAGUUUCUAUUGCUCCCCAAUGGACCUAUAUAAUUCAGUUUAAUUCUUUGUAUUCUUUAAGGUUUCAGAAUCUCCCAGUGUAUGAAAUUAGAGUCAUCAUAAUCCUUGUUUUAUUUCAAAUUGCUUAACUCUAGAAAUUCUAUCACUGUGUUUUCUAGAACAACAUAGUUCUUUUAUGUAUGCAAAAGAGGAGGGUUGUUGCUCUCUGAAUGCUUUCUGAUAAGGAUCCAUUUAAAUAUCUACUUGGAAGUAUCUCUUGUUUUUAAGAAAUUUAUUUGGAAAUUAAUUCUGAGUACAAAUUCUGGCUAUGCAAUCUACUUGGACAAAAGCAAGCUGGUUGCCCAGUUACCAUUUUAAAUGAACUUGUAAAAGAGAGCUUGGUGAUAUCACUUUAAUCCAGUGUUUACUGUACCUGGCAACUGUCCUUGUUGUAUGUUUCAAAAGUAUUUAGAUAGAACGUGGUUACACAUGACUAAAGGACCACCACCGCUAGGUGAAUAGGAUUAGAGGUAAAUCCAAGAUAUUUUGCUACUCAUAGUAUGCUUUUUUAUGCAGGAAAGUCAAAUCUGGCAAACUAAAUAAAGUUCUCUUUAUGUAGAUGAGUGUUUUUCUUAUCUGAAAUAUUUUAUUCAUCUGAAUCACACAAGGGCUACUUAACACCAUAGGAAAUACAGUCAAAUUGGUUCAGCAUCUCAUAACUUUCAGAAAAGAGGACCAGAAAUGCGGCGAGGGACUCAGCCGGCACCGGCUGGGUAUGCAGGUGGAUGGACAGCCGCUGCAGCUGCGUCUCUCUGGCAGGCAUCUCAGCUUCCUCAGCUGUGUGCAGAGCCCAAAAAUAGACACUUUCCCUUCACUUCCUUUUCUGACUCACCUCAAAUAUAAUGAGAUUUUCUGCUUCCAAAAAGCCCAGCUUUAUUUUUAUGCUCACAGAGUCACCUGAUAACAUUAGAAAGCCAAGGUCUAAAUGUAGAUGGAGUGAUUUCUUCUCCAGUGGACCCAACAAACACAGCCUAGCUGCUAUUUCCCUGAUAUUCUCAGAGUCUUCUUUCUAAAACAUAUCUACCUUUCCUAAGUCCUUUAAAAAUGAGUUGAAAAUGUUUUUAAAUAUUUGAUACUUUGCUGUUAACCAUAGUUGUUCUACUGUACUGUAAAACAUUAGAACAUAUUCCUGGUGUCUAACUGAAAUUCUGCACCUGUUACCUAACCUCUCCAUGCCCUCUCUGCUCUCCCCAGCCUCUGUCUGGCAACUACUAGUUUAUUCUACUUUCUGAGGUCAAAUUAUUUUUGCUGCUACAUCAUGCUCAAACCACAUAUUUGUCUUUGCAUGUCCGUUAAAUAUCAAAUAAAAUUAUAAAGACAAGUUGAAAGGAG
rnacentral:lncRNA from 1 species